UAGUAGACCUCCUGUAGUAGACUAGUACUGUAGUAGACUGUAGACAGUGUGGUGGACUGUAGAGGAAAUGAGAAUCCUACGAUCACAUGUGUUUUCUUACAGAAGCAACAGCCAGUGCAGUCAGUGAAUGGUUACUACCAGCUGACUGGCGUAGUCUCUCAUUUGGGAGGCUCCGCAAACUCCGGGCACUACAUUAGUGACAUCUUGCAUGCCAGUGGAAACUGGUUCUGCUGUAACGACAGCCAGGUGUCAAUGUCCAAUGAAGCCACUGUGCUGAGGACCAGAGCCCGGAGUGCCUACAUGCUCUUCUAUAUGUUCAGGGCAAGAGAGCGGGAGGCCCCAGCACACAGGGCCUAACAGGGCCACCAGCAUCAGCCCCAGCCUAAACAGGGGCAGCACCUGGACAGCCUCCAAACACUCAGACCUGCCUCAACAGUGGUAGUACCAGGCCCAGUCUCAA